AGAGUUUGAUCAUGGCUCAGGACGAACGCUGGCGGCGUGCCUAACACAUGCAAGUCGAGCGGAGACAGGGAGUAGCUUGCUACGAACUGUUUUAGCGGCGGACGGGUGAGUAACGCGUGAGCAACCUUUCCCAGACAGGGGAAUAACACACCGAAAGGUGUACUAAUACCGCAUAAGACCACGGGAUCACAUGGUUCUGGGGUAAAAGAAUUAUCGGUUUGGGGUGGGCUCGCGUCCGAUUAGGUAGUUGGUGAGGUAACGGCCCACCAAGCCGACGAUCGGUAGCCGACCUGAGAGGGUGAUCGGCCACAUUGGGACUGAGACACGGCCCAAACUCCUACGGGAGGCAGCAGUGGGGAAUAUUGGGCAAUGGAGGAAACUCUGACCCAGCAACGCCGCGUGGAGGAAGAAGGUUUUCGGAUCGUAAACUCCUGUCCUUGGAGACGAGUAGAAGACGGUAUCCAAGGAGGAAGCCCCGGCUAACUACGUGCCAGCAGCCGCGGUAAUACGUAGGGGGCAAGCGUUGUCCGGAAUAUUGGGCGUAAAGGGCGCGUAG
rnacentral:rRNA from 1 species